CAUCUACUCCCUCCGUCCGGAAAUACUUGUCAAAGGAAUGGAUGUAUCUAGAGUUCUAGACAUAUUUUAGUUAUAGAUGCAUCCGUUUUUAUUCAUUUCUCCGACAAGUAUUUCUGGACGGAAGGAGUAUAUC
rfam:Triticum aestivum genome assembly, contig: Triticum_aestivum_CS42_TGACv1_scaffold_061721_1DL